AAUCUUACAUGUUAAGAAGGCUUUCCUUCCAAAAUCUUCGAAGAGUUUAACAUACAAGAUUCCAAAAUUAUUCAUGGUCCCCAGAACAAUAAACUGGAUGAGGAACGCAGCCGCACACACUACCCAACCCCAGCCUCCGUCUGGAGGAAGGACAGGUUCCAACACUUUCUUAUUUUUUCGUCGUCUUGCCAGAUAUUUCCUUAUACCCAUGAUGGCCUUGGUCGAAUCGUGGUCGAAUUAAUCCGUUGUAUAACGACCUUGGCCUUGGUAUAUCACCUUGAAUGCCAUCUGAAUCACCCUGCG